CAGCCGCCGCGGUAAUACGUAGGUGGCGAGCGUUGUCCGGAUUUACUGGGUGUAAAGGGCGUGCAGGCGGGAGCGCAAGUCAGAUGUGAAAGCUCCGGGCUCAACCCGGAGACUGCAUAUGAAACUGUGUUUCUUGAGUGAUGGAGAGGCAGGCGGAAUUCCUCGUGUAGCGGUGAAAUGCAUAGAUAUGAGGAGGAACACCAGUGGCGAAGGCGGCCUGCUGGACAUUAACUGACGCUGAGGCGCGAAAGCGUGGGGAGCAAACAGGAUUAGAUACCCUGGUAGUCCACGCUGUAAACGAUGGAUACUAGGUGUGGGGGGACUGACCCCCUCCGUGCCGGAGUUAACACAAUAAGUAUCCCACCUGGGGAGUACGAUCGCAAGGUUGAAACUCAAAGGAAUUGACGGGGGCCCGCACAAGCGGUGGAUUAUGUGGUUUAAUUCGAAGCAACGCGAAGAACCUUACCAGGGCUUGACAUCCUACUAACGAAGCAGAGAUGCAUAAGGUGCCCUUCGGGGAAAGUAGAGACAGGUGGUGCAUGGCC
rnacentral:rRNA from 1 species